GACGAACGCUGGCGGCGUGCUUAACACAUGCAAGUCGAACGGAAAGGCCUGCUUUCCCUUGUGGAUUGCGGGUACUCGAGUGGCGAACGGGUGAGUAACACGUGAGUGAUCUGCCCCCAACUUGGGUAUAAGCCUGGGAAACUGGGUCUAAUUCCCGAUAGGACUGCAGGGUGGUGCCUGUGGUGGAAAACGAUUUUCUAGUGGUUGGGGAUGAGCUCGCGGCCUAUCAGCUUGUUGGUGGGGUAAUGGCCUACCAAGGCGGCGACGGGUAGCCGGCCUGGGAGGGUGGACGGCCACAGUGGGACUGAGAGACGGCCCAGACUCCUACGGGAGGCAGCAGUGGGGAAUAUUGCACAAUGGGCGGAAGCCUGAUGCAGCGACGCCGCGUGGGGGAUGACGGCCUUCGGGUUGUAAACUCCUUUCGACCGCGAGGAAGCCACCUGGUUGGAAGGGUGGUGACGGUAGUGGUAGAAGAAGCACCGGCUAACUACGUG
rnacentral:rRNA from 1 species